UACGAAGGGGGCUAGCGUUGCUCGGAAUCACUGGGCGUAAAGGGUGCGUAGGCGGUCCGAUAAGUCCUGUGUGAAAUCCCUCGGCUCAACUGAGGAACUGCACGGGAGACUGCCGGGCUUGAGUUCGGGAGAGGGAAGCGGAAUUCCGGGUGUAGCGGUGAAAUGCGUAGAUAUCCGGAGGAACACCGGUGGCGAAGGCGGCUUCCUGGACCGACACUGACGCUGAGGCGCGAAAGCUAGGGGAGCAAACGGG
rnacentral:rRNA from 1 species